AGGAGAAGGUGGAGAAGAUUCUCCGUCUUCCGGAGGGUAGCUACUGCCGGUAGCUCCGAUUUCCUUCGGAUCCCCUUUCAAGGGCAAGCAGAAGGAAAUCAGUUUCUCCAAAGAAAGUGGCCCGGCUGAGUAAGUGGGAACAAGGUGGUUGGACUGAGGCACGGGAUCCUUUAGCUCCGUUGCUCUUCUAAUCCCGUGGCCCUGGGCACCGCCACUUCCUCCUCUGAACUGCUGGAAUAAUCACUUCUGACUAGCAGAGUUACUGGGAGCCGCUGUUUGUCAGUGUUCACAUUCUGACUUUAGCAGGAGAUGGAGCGAGCGAAGGAGUGAAGCCCUUGUUUGUGAACAGUGAUUGUUUCCCGGAUGACAGCCAGAUGCCGGGCAGGGCCACGCAGAUCUUAGCUGGAGCCUACAGGUACAAGUGAGAGCCACCCCCUUUGACGUAACUGGACUGGCAUUUACAGAACUCAUGUACAGCCCACUCUCAGGAACACCAGCCAGGAACCGUGACAUGGAGGAGAGGAAUUGGGAGGAACCGAGGGGUCAUCAAAGGCUGGUUGGGUUUCAGCCGAGCAAGUCUGAGGCCCCUUUCCCGCGCCCUCUGGUGGAAAGUGUUCGCUUUUCUGUCCACCCAUGUGAAGGAUUCACCCCGACCCUCCUCAGGUGGCCUUUACUUUGCAGGAGCAAAGCAAGUUGGAUGAGGAGAUACAUGUAUGUGGCACACAGCUUUCUUCACUUAGCAACACGUCAGAUGCAGCGUAGAUGUGCGGAUGAAACCACCAUUGCAAAAUUAUCACUGAGACAGUCAGAGAAACCUGACAUGGCUGACUCCAUGUUGCUUUUAGCCUCACAGGCUGGCUCUCUUAGCUCAUUCCUAAGCAUGGGCCUGAAACUGCCAUUGCAAAAUCGUAACUGAGACAGCAAAAGAGACUUGACCUAACCAACUCCAUCUUGCUUCUAACCUCCAAGCUGUCCUUGUUCAUUCCUGGGUGUAGGCUGAACUAACUUUGGGAGGAACUUAAUUUAUAGUUUAAAACAAAGACGAUAAGACGAUAACAGCCCUUUCUCAAAACAAACAUCCUUCCUGACUGGGGACUAGACUGCCUUUGUAGGAUUAACAAAUUAGCCACAAGAUCAGAAAUUAUAGUUUAGGAGUCAUGCAGCUGGAGGCUCUAAGAUUGUGACCCUCCCUAAACCGCUCAGUGCUUGAGAUGUUUUACAGACCCUGCACUUAAUGGAUCAGCUGGCACCACCCAGAUGGAUAAACUGGCUCAUGUGAUCUUGUGGCCCCCACCCAGGAACUGACUCAGUGCAAGAAGACAACUUCAAUUCCCUAUGAUUUAAUGUCCUACCGAAUCAAUCAGCACUCCUGACACACUGGCUUCCCCUCACCCACCAAAUUGUCCUUAAAACCUCUGAUCUCCAAAUGCUUGAGGAGACUGAUUUGAGUAAUAAUAAAACAAGGCUCCUGCACAGCCGGCUCUGCGCGAAUUACUCUUUCUCUACUGCAGUUCUCCUGUCAUGAUAAAUCGGCUCCAUCUAGGCAGCCAGCAAGGUGAACCCACUGGGUGGUUACAGGCCACGCUAAGUUCGGGAGAAAUUUAGUUUAUGGUUUAAAUGAUAACAGCCCUUCCCCAAAACUAAACUGCCCUGGUAAAACUAAUGAAAGGCCGCCAAGUUAGGAGGAUGACAGGGGCCUGAAUUCUACUGAGCCGUAAGCGUAAUUACCGGCCAUUAUUCCAGAGGACACAAGAUUUGCAACUUGCCUAAUUACUCCUGCAAAGAACAUCGCUACUGUAGCACCUGAGAAUGGCCUUUUGAGAUGUGUUUUCAGGCUUUUGCACUUCUGACAACUGAUGGCUGCACUUGGACUCGCCAGCCGGUCCCGCGUCCCCACCAGAAGCAGAGUAAGCACAAGAGGACAGCUCCGACUCCCUAGGAUUUCAGCUCUGACCAGUCGCACGCCUGGCUCACUGGCUUCCCCACACCCACCAAGUUGUUCUUAAAAACUCUGCUGCCCGAAUGCUCAGGGAGAGUGAUUUGAGUAAUAAUGAAACUGUUGUCUCCUGCACAGUCGGCUCUGCGUGAAUUACUCUUUCUCUAUUGCAAUUCCGCUCUCUUGAGAAAUCGGCUCUGUCCAGGCAGCAGCAAGGUGAAGCCACUGGGCGGUUACACUGAUAUGAUUCCCCCUUUGCAGUUUUUACUCUCUUGGUGCUGCAAACAGUUCCUCACUGAGGACCCUUGUACACGUAUCACUGUGAGCAUGAAUCCGAAUUUCUUUAGGAGACAUACAUACUAGUGGGUAUGUGCAUGUUAUGUAAUUUCUCUUAGCACUGUUUCCUCACUCAUCAAAUAAGGAUCAAGUAGUUCUCACCACACAGGGUUAUUUUAGAAAUAAUUUAGUAUACAUAAUAUACAAUGCAAUAACAAGUACUGAUGUCUACUUCUUUUAGGUUAUAUGAUAAUACCUUAUACAUAGUACAUGUGUGAUUAUAUAUAUUGCAAUGUAGAGUACGAUCUAUAAUUUACAGAACUGUUGUUUAUAUAUAACAAAUGCUGUCCUUGCGAUAGUUUGCUCAGAAUGAUGGUUUAUGUAUACAUAUGUAACAAACCUGCACGUUGUGCACACGUACCCUAGAACUUAAAGUAUAAUUUUAAAAAAUGCUAUAAUUCAUGUGGUGAUUAUUAUCUACCAGUUACAUCAUCGAUAGAAUGAGGACGUUGUUAACGGUACACGCCAGACAGGAUGGCUGUGAGGAUCUGUGAUAAUAAGAAUUAGAUAUUUGGUCUUUGUCCCUGUUUCCUGAUGGAGGCUUCUAAACCCCUUGGAAUUCCCUGACUGAUAGGGGCAAGAGGAAAUCUUUUGUUAUUCCUAACGAGCCCCUUUCAUCCAUGCCUGUGUUUAUGCUAAUGAGGUGACUCCUGGAGGAUGAGGGCUGGUUGCCAGGGGAAUCAACUUUGCCUUGCAACUUUCAGCUCCAGUCCGUGACUUCCAGGGAAAGAACAGGGGCUGGAGAUUGAGUUUAAUCGCCAAUGACCAGUGAUUUGAUCAUUCAUGCUUAAAUAAUGGAACCAUAAGAAACCUAAAGAAAAGGUUUGGAGAGCUGCUGGGUUCAGGAGCACAUUCGUGUGCUGGGAGGGUGUUGUGCCUGGUGAAGGUGUGGAAGCGCUGACUCUGCCUCGCAUACCUUGUCCUGUCUGUGUCUUUCAUCUGGCUGUUGCUGAGUUGUGCUGUUUAUAAUAAUAAACUGGU
ensembl:lncRNA ZNF496-DT ZNF496 divergent transcript